CACACCGCCCGUCGCUACUACCGAUUGAAUGGCUCAGUGAGGCUUCCGGACUGGCCCAGAGGAGUCGGCAACGACACCUCAGGGCCGGAAAGCUAUCCAAACUCGGUCAUUUAGAGGAAGUAAAAGUCGUAACAAGGUCUCCGUUGGUGAACCAGCGGAGGGAUCAUUACAGAGAAAACACAUCUCGCAAACCCCAUGUGAACAUACCAUUAGUUGCCUCGGCGGUGAUGCCUACCCGGUACUUACCCUGUAAACCUACCCGGUACUUACCCUGUAAACGGCCGCCGAAGGGAAGUUAGAACUCGUAUCACUCGUGGCACUCUGAGUUAUCACUAUAAUAAGUUAAAACUUUCAACAACGGAUCUCUUGGUUCUGGCAUCGAUGAAGAACGCAGCGAAAUGCGAUAAGUAAUGUGAAUUGCAGAAUUUAGUGAAUCAUCGAAUCUUUGAACGCACAUUGCGCCCACUAGUAUUCUGGUGGGCAUGCCUGUUCGAGCGUCAUUUCAAACCCUUAAGCCUCGCCGCUUAGUGUUGGGGCCCGCUGUAGCUACAGCGUCCCUCAAAGAUAUUGGCGGGGUCGUCUGAGCUCUAAGCGUAGUAAAAUCUCUCGCUUCUGGGUUUCUGGCGGCCGCUGCCACAAGCCAACUAUUCUAUCAAGGUUUGACCUCGGAUCAGGUAGGAAUACCCGCUGAACUUAAGCAUAUCAAUAAGCGGAGGAAAAGAAACCAACAGGGAUUCCCCUAGUAACGGCGAGUGAAGCGGGAACAGCUCAAAUUUGAAAGCUGGCCUUCUGGUCCGCGUUGUAAUUUGUAGAGGAUGCUUUUGGCGCGGUGCCUUCUGAGUCCAUUGGAACAUGGCGCCUUAGAGGGUGAGAGCCCCGUACAGUUGAACACCAAGCCUCUGUAAAGCUCCUUCGACGAGUCGAGUAGUUUGGGAAUGCUGCUCUAAAUGGGAGGUAAAUUUCUUCUAAAGCUAAAUACCGGCCAGAGACCGAUAGCGCACAAGUAGAGUGAUCGAAAGAUGAAAAGCACUUUGAAAAGAGGGUUAAAUAGCACGUGAAAUUGUUGAAAGGGAAGCGCUUAUGACCAGACUUUUUCCCAGCGGAUCAUCCGGCGUUCUCGCCGGUGCACUUCGCUGGGUUUAGGCCAACAUCGACUCCUGUCGGGGGACAAAGGCUCCGGGAACGUGACUCUCUUCGGGGAGUGUUAUAGCCCGUUGCGUAAUACCCUGGCGGGGGUCGAGGCUCGCGCUCUGCAAGGAUGUUGGCAUAAUGGUCAUCAGUGACCCGUCUUGAAACACGGACCAAGGAGUCGAACAUUUGUGCGAGUGUUUGGGUGUCAAACCCUCACGCGUAAUGAAAGUGAACGGAGGUGAGAGCCUUUUAGGUGCAUCAUCGACCGAUCCUGAAGUCUUCGGAUGGAUUUGAGUAAGAGCAUAACUGUUCGGACCCGAAAGAUGGUGAACUAUGCGUGGAUAGGGUGAAGCCAGAGGAAACUCUGGUGGAGGCUCGCAGCGGUUCUGACGUGCAAAUCGAUCGUCAAAUCUGCGCAUGGGGGCGAAAGACUAAUCGAACCAUUGACGACCAGCGGUAAAGAACGAAUUUACUAGGUGGUUAAUAGGCCUUCUCAGAGGGCUGGCCUAGGCCUGCUUACCCUGUAAUACCUACCCGGUACUUACCCGGUAAUGGGCCGACAUCGCUAAAUUGCGGGAACGUCCUACAUUGUAAUGUCACUAGCUACCGCCCUGGCGCUGAAAAGCGUCCGGGGCACCGAGGAUAACGCCCUCGGGUGCGGUAAUAACGCCUGUGACAGUGGACGACCUGCAGCCAACCCCGCCGACAGGGGAGAGUUCACUGACUAGACAGCGAUGGGUUCCGCAGCAGCGGAGCUUAAGACAUAGUCGAUCCGGGCCCUGCAAAGGUGUACCGAUCUACCCGGGAGAGCYUACCCGGUACUUACCUUGUAGACCUACCCGGUACUUACCCUGUAGACCUACCCGGUAUUUACCCUGUAAACCCCCGUGGUGUGCGAG
rnacentral:rRNA from 1 species